AAAACCAACCCGACAAAAAGUAAAACUGAUUCUUUUUUAUUUGUUAUACAUAUCCAUAAGACCAACUAGGGAUUGUGCCCGCGCGCAAUGCGGCGCGGCGCGGUGCACGUAUACAUUAGGCGAUAAUUGGUGUCAGAAACAUUAAGAAAACUAAUAGCCUUAUAGACAUAUAGAGGUAGUAGGUUACAUUAGGAUUUAUACUACAACGGCAAACAAACAGCCCGGCCCCCAUAACAUCAAUCAGUGAUAUUGCCAAAUGUGGCUUAGACAGAUGAAUCCUUUGUUGUGAAGACGAUGGCGCUGAGAACGCAGUCUCACAACACGAAGCUAGAAGGGAGGAGAGGCUGGUCGAAGGACCGGCGAAAAUACCCGACCUUUUUAGGAAUCGGUUACAGAAAUGAGAAGGAUGAGAGGGACUGCAGAUGACCCGGCCUUUGUCAACACCUAGCGCAACCGCCAACGCCUUCUCCGAUCUCUCGGCAAAUAUAUGACAGCUUGAAAGGAACAACUUGUAACAUACGCUUGCAAAAUGUUAUCGAAUUUUCAGACUGGUAAGCAUAUUAUUAGUUUGUGUAUGUGGUUUUGAGUAAUCGGGACGGGUAUCACCUAAUCCCAAGGCCAUCCCAUACCCACGAAAAUAUAAAAAACUAAUCUCAUACCCGGUCCCAUAGCCAUCGAGGUUCGGGGUACACCCGUCCCGGAUGUCUCGGGUUUUGGGAAUACCCGUCGGGCUCGAGUUUUUUGGCCAUCCCUAAUAUGAAAGCAAGAACAGUAUGUUAUAUAAAAAAAAAUUCAUAAUACUCGACUUAUAGAUGAACAUAGAUAUUAAAUUCUCUCCCACCACAAAAUUAAUAUUUGAACAAUUGGGAGAAAAUAGUAUUUUCAACGAUUCUAAGAGCUCUUUGCAUUACCUUGAUGUUACAUUCUUGUUUGUGAAUGGACGAAUCAUCAUUGAAAACAUUGAUAUCGGUUUCCGAUGAGGUUCGAACUGACCUCCAGGCCAUAUAACCGGCUAAAAUGGCCAAGAAAAACACCAGCAGAAGAAUUCUGAUGGGACAUUGAGCUUGUGUUGGAAAGUAGGAUAUCAUAUGGAAAGAGGUGGUGGUUAAGGUUUGGUUAAUCUUUUUGGCAUUUAAUAUGUAGAGGAAUACGUCUCAUCUUAGUGCAGCUGGUUUUGCUAUUACAAAGUGAAAGUUGGCUACACUUACUAUUUUUUUGGCAAACGGGUAUUAUUGGCAUUUCUAUUCAUAUUGAUCUAG